rnacentral:rRNA from 1 species
GUUCCGUGGCUUCMUCUGCCAGCAAUCCAGGCUUCGAACUGCUUGCACUUGCRGGCUAKGCCAGCCWYKACAAGGGGCUUAAGGGAAAAACUAAGGKAAUGUGGCCCACUUUUGGGUGUWUAGUCCCUUAGAUAUACCUUGGGUUGGAUGAGGACGCUCGAUGCUUUUUGGCGAGUUUUCCAGGAAGGUUUCUGAGGAARACGGAUCAAGGUUGAUCUUUUUGGUUAUACUUCUAUUCGCUUAGGUUGUUGGCUUAUGACUCUAAUGACCCGUCUUGAACACGGACCAAGGAUC